UCGGUACGGGUUGUGAGAGCAAGAGCCCGGAGAUGGAACCUGAGACAAGGUUCCAGGCCCUACGGGGUGCAGCAGGCGCGAAACCUCCGCAAUGUGAGAAAUCGCGACGGGGGGAUCCCAAGUGCCAUUCUUAACGGGAUGGCUUUUCAUUAGUGUAAAGAGCUUUUGGAAUAAGAGCUGGGCAAGACCGGUGCCAGCCGCCGCGGUAACACCGGCAGCUCUAGUGGUAGCAAUUUUUAUUGGGCCUAAAGCGUCCGUAGCCGGUUUAAUAAGUCUCUGGUGAAAUCCUGUAGCUUAACUGUGGGAAUUGCUGGAGAUACUAUUAGACUUGAGACCGGGAGAGGUUGGAGGUACUCCCAGGGUAGAGGUGAAAUUCUGUAAUCCUGGGAGGACCGCCUGUUGCGAAGGCGUCUAACUGGAACGGUUCUGACGGUGAGGGACGAAAGUUAGGGGCGCGAACCGGAUUAGAUACCCGGGUAGUCCUAACUGUAAACGAUGCGGACUUGGUGUUGGGGUGGCUUUGAGCUGCUCCAGUGCCGAAGGGAAGCUGUUAAGUCCGCCGCCUGGGAAGUACGGUCGCAAGACUGAAACUUAA
rnacentral:rRNA from 1 species